rnacentral:lncRNA from 1 species
CAUUGCUAUUUUCAUAUGAGCAUUCUGCAAUUAAAUAGGAAGAGGUGUGAAUGGAGACACAUAAUCAGCUCAAGAAUGAUAAUUUCCAAGAGUUCCGAUAUCAUGUACUAGGAAUGCACCAAGUAGCCUUAUUCUACACAUACUUUCGGUCUCAUUAGAUUAAAGUUUUGUUACAACAUAAUAAUUUAUUUUGAAAGCUAAACAUGCAUGCAUGAUGCAAACAAAUGAAGUACUCGUCAUGUAAACUAGAAGUGUAUCCAUGUUUUGCUGUGCCGGCCAAUAGUGAUGAGUGAUCUUGCGAUGUUGUUUCCAUCAUAUAUUCAUUGUACUAUAAUGUACAAAUGCUAAACAUGCCAGGCCUGGAACAAUUUAAGUUCAUUUAUGUGAUUAUAAAUUAUCAGAUGUAACAGUGACCAUAAAUCAAUGGAUUAUGACAUGUUUAAUCAUAGAAUAUCAAUUGCUAGCCAACAUUUGGAAGUUAAAAAAACAUUAAUCAUGAGCCAAAUAAACAGGGAAGUGGACUUCAUGAAUUUUUUCAUCAAACUGCGUGAGCAAAAUAGCUUGUCAUGUAACCUUACACCUCCAAUCCAUGAUUCCUUUGAAAUGCUCUCCCCUGAAAUGGACAAAGAGAUAGUAAAUGAUUUGCAUGCUUUAUCAAAGGUAACACCUGUUGGGCAUGAAAAACAUGACCAUUUUUCAGUGUCAGGAAUGGCAACAUCAUUCGACAUUUAUGUUUCUCCUUGAGAUAGCAAGGCUAGUAGGACGUUGAAGUAGCUAAAUAAUGGAAGGUGAAUGAAAUCAAACCCUGUGCUAUAGGCAGAAUUAAACUACAAGAUAAUAUUAUCAAUGGCAAAUGAUAGCCAUUAUUAGAUAAGAACUGCCAGAUAGCAGAAAUAAGAAAAUCCUCUUUGCAAUCAGGAGAAGCAGAGCCAAAUCAGCAGAGUAACACCUAUGUACCUCUGUUAUACUUCUGAAUAUUUAUAGUGAGCAUUUCAUUAAGCAAAUAAUUAGCAUAUUUGAAUAUUAUAACUGAUAUAGUUGGUUUCCAACUAUCAAAUAUUUUCUCCCGAUUCCUUUUUUUGUUGUUGAACUAGAUGUACUAUUCAUGCAAUCAUGCUCAUAACAAAAGAUACAUUAUUGUUCUAUUCUCUAAUUCACUAAGGUAAUGAAGAAAUUUCAAGUAAAAUAUGUUCUGUGAUCUAUUAUUUUUUUUAUUUUCCGGGUGAAACAUAACAUGCUAUGUGAUUGUUGAAUGCAUGGAUGCAAUCAAAACAUGGAUGCGCCAUUUUCGUGUCCCCUGUCUAUCAGAUUUUACUUGGUUGUGUGAUGUGAAAAUUCUGAAGAUGUUAUCAGUUUUCUACUAACUUCGAAUCUUAAUUCCAUUUGUUUGAAUGCAGGGGCACAUGUGCGGCUGUGGGCUGUGGCUAGACCAAUUUGUACUACUUGCUAGAAAGCAGCAACUACAAACAGACAAGGGAGGCGGCUAGACAGACCUGUAUGAUCGCAUCACUUGAGAUCAAGUAGAGUGAGUCCAAUAAAUAGCACUCGGGCUUGAAACGACAGAGGUGGAAUCCUGCGCUGGUAGCUCCAAGGCAACAACGCCGAUGGUCACCAAUUCCCACCUGAUGUCUAGAGUUUUGCCGCGAGGGCCACGCGCGAGGACGGAUGGCAAAACGGUGACAGGGAGCGGAGCCAAAGGUGGUCGCCGGCGCCCGGCGCCAACACUGCCGCCCCGCAAAGCCGUCAUUACCAUGCAACAGGUUGUACGCCAGACAUGACGAGCGCCGUCCAGGCUGAUAGUUGUUCAUCUCUCCCCAUGAUCUGUAAACAACAAGCAAUCCAACUAAGAAGCAAUCAAACCGAGCGAACAUGCAAACUGUAUGUACGCCCAAUGUUCAGAAGAUUUUUCUAUUGAUGUGACUCCUACCAGGCUACCACGGACCAGAGCACCUUCAGUUUGCAGAGUUGAACAACUAAAAUUUACAGCAAUUAAGUAGGAAAUCAAUUUACUACAUAAGUAUGAGAUACUAGAAGAAUUUGAAGAUUUUCCGUACCAUAGCUUGAGCGAUCAGAUCACAAUGGGCAGGGGAACGACGAAUCUGGGGUGGCUACCCUAGGCGGCACAGAUGUACUUCCGUGCUUGCUCUGCAUAUUCCACCUAUAGGUUGAAGACGAAGUUGUACGUCGCAGCAGAUGCUUCCUCCGAUCUGCCGCCCAAUCGCCGCCGCCGCCGCCCCCGGGGCAACCGCCGGCCGGUCUCUGUCCCCCAACCUCCGCCGCAUCCAAUCGCUCGCCGCCCACCGAGUCUCCCUCAGUCCGCCACCAAACGAAUCGAUCGCCGCUCCUGUGUGGAGGCGAUGCACAUCACCG